GACGAACGCUGGCGGCGUGCUUAACACAUGCAAGUCGAACGGAAAGACCCUGCUUUUGUGGGGUGCUCGAGUGGCGAACGGGUGAGUAACACGUGAGUAACCUGCCCUUGACUUUGGGAUAACUUCAGGAAACUGGGGCUAAUACCGGAUAGGAGCUCCUGCUGCAUGGUGGGGGUUGGAAAGUUUCGGCGGUUGGGGAUGGACUCGCGGCUUAUCAGCUUGUUGGUGGGGUAGUGGCUUACCAAGGCUUUGACGGGUAGCCGGCCUGAGAGGGUGACCGGCCACAUUGGGACUGAGAUACGGCCCAGACUCCUACGGGAGGCAGUAGUGGGGAAUAUUGCACAAUGGGCGGAAGCCUGAUGCAGCAACGCCGCGUGCGGGAUGACGGCCUUCGGGGUGUAAACCGCUUUCGCCUGUGACGAAGCGUGAGUGACGGUAAUGGGUAAAGAAGCACCGGCUAACUACGUG
rnacentral:rRNA from 1 species